rnacentral:rRNA from 1 species
CCUACGGGAGGCAGCAGUGAGGAAUAUUGGUCAAUGGACGAGAGUCUGAACCAGCCAAGUAGCGUGAAGGAUGACUGCCCUAUGGGUUGUAAACUUCUUUUAUAAAGGAAUAAAACGAGGCACGUGUGCCUUUUUGCAUGUACUUUAUGAAUAAGGAUCGGCUAACUCCGUGCCAGCAGCCGCGGUAAUACGGAGGAUCCGAGCGUUAUCCGGAUUUAUUGGGUUUAAAGGGAGCGUAGAUGGGUUGUUAAGUCAGUUGUGAAAGUUUGCGGCUCAACCGGAAAAUUGCAAUUGAUACUGGCAGUCUUGAGUACAGUUGAGGUAGGCGGAAUUCGUGGUGUAGCGGUGAAAUGCUUAGAUAUCACGAAGAACCCCGAUUGCGAAGGCAGCUCACUGAACUGUGACUGACAUUGAGGCUCGAAAGUGUGGGUAUCAAACAGGAUUAGAUACCCCAGUAGUC